UACGAAGGGGGCUAGCGUUGUUCGGAAUUACUGGGCGUAAAGCGCGCGUAGGCGGUUUUGCAAGCCAGAGGUGAAAUGCCUGAGCUCAACUUAGGAAUUGCCUUUGGGACUGCGAGGCUUUGAGGACGAGAGAGGUGAGUGGAAUUCCCAGUGUAGAGGUGAAAUUCGUAGAUAUUGGGAAGAACACCGGUGGCGAAGGCGGCUCACUGGCCCGGUACUGACGCUGAGAUACGAAAGCGUGGGGAGCAAACAGG
rnacentral:rRNA from 1 species